CUGUGGUUUUAUAAAAUGUUACCAGACUUCUAACUAACUUUUGCUGAAGAAUAAAUCUGAGUUUUAACAUCUGUUGGAUUUGGUUAGUCAUGCAUCCGUAACAGAUCUCAAUAAACAAGCAA